rnacentral:rRNA from 1 species
CGAACGGGUGAGUAACGCGUGAGGAACCUGCCUCAAAGAGGGGGACGAACAGUUGGAAACGACUGCUAAUACCGCAUAAGCCCACCGGGUCGGGCAUCGACCAGAGGGAAAAGGAGCAAUCCGCUUUGAGAUGGCCUCGCGUCCGAUUAGCUAGUUGGUGAGGUAAUGGCCCACCAAGGCAACGAUCGGUAGCCGGACUGAGAGGUUGAACGGCCACAUUGGGACUGAGACACGGCCCAGACUCCUACGGGAGGCAGCAUG